rnacentral:rRNA from 1 species
UACGUAGGGGGCAAGCGUUGUCCGGAAUCAUUGGGCGUAAAGCGCGUGUAGGCGGCUUGAUAAGUCUGCUCUGAAAGCCCGGGGCUCAACCCUGGGAGGCGGGUGGAUACUGUCAAGCUCGAGUCCGGAAGAGGCGAGUGGAAUUCCUGGUGUAGCGGUGAAAUGCGCAGAUAUCAGGAGGAACACCGAUGGCGAAGGCAGCUCGCUGGGACGGUACUGACGCUGAGACGCGAAAGCGUGGGGAGCAAACAGG